AAAUGUUUCUAGAACCUUGCUACUCAAACUCUGAUCCACUGAGAGCGGCGUGGGCAUCCGUCCAUCCAUCCAGCCAGCCAGCCAGCCAUCCAUUCAUCCAUCCAUCCACCCACCCACCCACCUUGAUAGCAGCAUGGGCAGCCCUGCCCCAGGCAUGCUGAAUCAGACUCUGCCUUUUAACAAGAUCCUCAGGUGACUUGUGUGGACUUUCAAAGACAGAGAAGCGCUAAUCCUGGCCAUUCUAAUCGAAGGAGACCAGAAGCACUUGAGAAUAUCAGUUAGUCUGUGGAACCUCUGCCUUCGGACUCUUUUCAAGCUCAAUAAUGAUUUUGCAUGAGUUGGAGGAAAUGAAUUUUGAAAGUGCAUCAAAGAUGAAAAGGAAGAUUAGCCCUGAGCUAACAUCUAUCGCCAAUCCUCCUCUUCUUUUGUUGAGGAAGAUUGACCCUGAGCUAACAUCUGUGCCCAUCUUCCUCUACUUUAUAUGUGGGAUGCCUGCCACAGCACAGCUUGAUGAGUGGUGCUAGGUCUGCGUUUGGGAUCUGAACCAGUGAACUGCGGGCCACCAAAGCAGAGCACACGAACUUAACCACUACGCCACGGGGCCAGCCCUCUCAACAUUUCUUUAGUCAUCUAUUUUAGACACUAUUUUAUACUAGGUGGGAAUUUAGUUCACUUACCUCCCUUUCUCCCCUCUUCUGUUCUCUCUCCCUUU
rnacentral:lncRNA from 1 species